rnacentral:rRNA from 1 species
UACGGGGGGGGCAAGCGUUGUUCGGAAUUACUGGGCGUAAAGGGCGCGUAGGCGGCCCGCUAAGUCGAACGUGAAAUCCCCGAGCUCAACUCGGGAACUGCGUCCGAUACUGGCGGGCUUGAAUCCGGGGGAGGGAUGCGGAAUUCCAGGUGUAGCGGUGAAAUGCGUAGAUAUCUGGAGGAACACCGGUGGCGAAGGCGGCAUCCUGGACCGGCAUUGACGCUGAGGCGCGAAAGCUAGGGGAGCAAACGGG